UACGUAGGUGGCAAGCGUUUGUCCGGAUUAUUGGGCGUAAAGCGCGCGCAGGUGGUGCGGUAGGUCUGCCGUGAAAUCUCCCGGCUCAACUGGGAGGGGCGGUGGAGACUGCCGGACUGGAGGGACUCAGAGGCCGGUGGAAUUCCCGGUGUAGUGGUGAAAUGCGUAGAGAUCGGGAGGAACACCAGUGGCGAAGGCGGCCGGCUGGGGGUGCCCUGACGCUGAGG
rnacentral:rRNA from 1 species